rnacentral:rRNA from 1 species
GAUGAACGCUGGCGGCGUGCCUAAUACAUGCAAGUCGAGCGAACGGACGAGAAGCUUGCUUUUCUGAUGUUAGCGGCGGACGGGUGAGUAACACGUGGAUAACCUACCUAUAAGACUGGGAUAACUUCGGGAAACCGGAGCUAAUAUCGGAUAAUAUUUUGAACCGCAUGGUUCAAAAGUGAAAGACGGUCUUGCUGUCACUUAUAGAUGGAUCCGCGCUGCAUUAGCUAGUUGGUAAGGUAACGGCUUACCAAGGCAACGAUGCAUAGCCGACCUGAGAGGGUGAUCAGCCACACUGGAACUGAGACACGGUCCAGACUCCUACGGGAGGCAGCAGUAGGGAAUCUUCCGCAAUGGGCGAAAGCCUGACGGAGCAACGCCGCGUGAGUGAUGAAGGUCUUCGGAUCGUAAAACUCUGUUAUUAGGGAAGAACAUAUGUGUAAGUAACUGUGCACAUCUUGACGGUACCUAAUCAGAAAGCCACGGCUAACUACGUG